rnacentral:rRNA from 1 species
UACAGAGGGGGCAAGCGUUAUUCGGAAUUAUUGGGCGUAAAGAGCGCGCAGGCGGUCGUUCAAGUCGAGUGUGAAAGCCCCCGGCUCAACUGGGGAGGGUCAUUCGAUACUGAUCGACUCGAAGGCAGGAGAGGGAAGUGGAAUUCCCGGUGUAGUGGUGAAAUGCGUAGAUAUCGGGAGGAACACCAGUGGCGAAGGCGACUUCCUGGCCUGUUCUUGACGCUGAGGCGCGAAAGCUAGGGGAGCAAACGGG